rnacentral:pre_miRNA from 1 species
GCACUUGAAACAUUGUUCAAACCUUAGUUAGAAUGCUAAAAUAGAUAGCUAUUUUCAGGUGAGCAAAGUUUCAAGUGUGU